rnacentral:lncRNA from 1 species
AAAAAACCAAAUCUCUCAAAAAAACUCUCUCAGCCCCUCAGUCCUCCGACCAUCGGUCGGUCAUCGGACGGUCACCGACCACCGCGCUGGCCGCCGAUUUUCGGCGACGACGCCGCCGUUUGCGGUGGCCGAAAAAGGGAAAGUUCCCUUUUUAAUAUUUCCGAUCCCUCUAGGCCCAAAUCUGGGCUAAAAAUCCCCAAAAUCAACAAAAAAAAAACACUAGAAAAACCUUAGAAACUUUUUGGUUUCUAGUCGUCUGUCAUCGGAGACGAUCUUCGGAAUACCCUACGGCGUUUCAGAAGCCAAAAAAAAAGGUAGUUUUCCUCUCUUUUAUUAUUUUUGUUUAUACGUAUGUAAAAUAAAAAGAUAAAAAAUAAAUAUAACAACGAAAAAACAAGUAUCAACCUUUUUUGAUCGAUUUAUUCUGUAUUGCGAAAGUACAAGCCUUUUUCUAUUUUCGAAAUCGAGAUCCUCAUUACAGUGUGUUUAUGGCUUUUUUAUAGCCGAAAUAGUAAAUCAAAGAAAGAAAAAAAUCAGGUCAUAUCUUUGAUUCGCAAAUACAUGAUUUUUCUUUCCAUAUGUUGUUGGUUUCCUUGCAGGUGAAGAUCACGAAGAUUCGGGGACGAAGCUUGGCUUGCGGCGCUGCCCUAGGGUUCCAUCUGCUCCCCGAGCUUUGGGCUAGGGUCCGAUUUGGGCCGCUGUUUUGUUUGGAUUUGGGCCAUAUAGGCCAAUCUUUGUUUUUAUUAGUUGGGCCAUGAGGGCCUGUCUGUAAUGCGGGUCUUUUAGACCCGGGCCAAAAUAGGGUGUUAUAAAUGUAAUUCAUAAUUUUUUUUAUUAAUCAAUUUGUUUGAAAA